rnacentral:rRNA from 1 species
UACGUAGGGUGCAAGCGUUGUCCGGAAUUAUUGGGCGUAAAGAGCUCGUAGGCGGUCUGUCGCGUCGGCUGUGAAAACCCGAGGCUCAACCUCGGGCCUGCAGUCGAUACGGGCAAACUAGAGUACUGCGGGGGAGACUGGAAUUCCUGGUGUAGCGGUGAAAUGCGCAGAUAUCAGGAGGAACACCUAUGGCGAAGGCAGCUCGCUGGGACGUUACUGACGCUGAGACGCGAAAGCGUGGGGAGCAAACAGG